AUCGAACGCUGGCGGCAUGCCUAACACAUGCAAGUCGAGCGGAGGAAGGCUGCUUGCUCCUGGAUUCAGCGUCGGACGGGUGCGUAAUGCUUAGGAAUCUGCCUGGUAGUGGGUAAUAACGUCCGGCAACGGGCGCUAAUACCGCAUACGUCCUGACGGUGUAAGUGGGGGAUCUUCGGACUUAACGCUAUCAGAUGAACCUAGGUCGGAUUAGCUAGCUGGUGGGGUAAAGGCCUACCAAGGCAACGAUCCAUAACUGGCCUGAGAGGAUGAUCAGUCACACUGGAACUGAGACACGGUCCAGACUCCUACGGGAGGCAGCAGUGGGGAAUAUUGGACAAUGGGCGAAAGCCUGAUGCAGCCAUGCCGCGUGUGUGAAGAAGGUCUUCGGAUUGUAAAGCACUUUAAGUUGGGAGGAAGGGCAGUAAGUUAAUAACUCGCUGUUUUGACGUUACCAACCGAAUAAGCAACGGCUAACUUCGUG
rnacentral:rRNA from 1 species